rnacentral:lncRNA from 1 species
UAAUAAAGGAUGCCACAUACUAUACUAUAUGCAAUUACAUAUGUGGACUUAAGAUAGCUUUGACAUUAUAAAUUGUUCUUUAGGUUGUUUAAAUGCAUGUUGAUUCACAAAAUAAUUUUAAAUGGAGAAACUGCAAGAGUCUCCCCUAUUUAUUAGCAAUUAUCCCUGUGAAAAAAAAAAUAGUCAUAAAAUUUCAAUAUUUACUCAUUUCACACUAUUAAAACCACAAAUAGAACAUAAUAACUUAAAAUAGUAAACACAUUUAUUUAUAUUCGUACUAUUUACAACACUCAUUACAGACUCUUGGUAGACUAUUAAUGUACAUGCCAAACAUAAGCAACCUCUGUACAAAUCUUGUGAACAACUGGUUAUGAUGAUGUCUCUGUGCUGAUGCAGAACCAGACCUCCUAACUGUUGCUUCCUCUAUCUAUUACCUGCGCAUGGAAAAGUCCAAUGCGCUGAGCUUAUGCCCAGUGGGUGAAUAACAACAUAUAUACUCAUGACAAAUAUAAUGAAAUCAUUUUAUAAGGCAAGUGAAAUUUUAUGUGUCAGUGGGUGAUAAGUGGCAAAUCAAGUCAUGCAGCUGUAUAACUGUAAGGUCAUUCAUAUUUUUGUAACCAUCUUAUGUGCUUGCUAGCAAAGCAUUAACAAGUCAUAUAAUUAAAUCUUAGCCCCUAUAAACUCUUCGUAGGAUCAACUAGCUAGAUAAGGGAAAACUGUAUCUGUAUAGCACAAAGUGCCAAACUGUAUGGCCUGGGGGCCGAAUGCUGUGCCUGUAUGGCUAAAAAGCCGGAAAACUGUAUGACACGUAAUGUGUCGAAAAUAUCAUAUCAUGUAGCCCAUUAGGGUGCAGUACUGCUAAACUGUAUAUGGCAUGCCAUACCCUUAUGCUAUCUAUGACUCCCACUAAGGUUUAUUAGGGCCAAGAAUGCAUAUUUUCAUGUUAAAUAUUUAUUGGUAACAAAAUUAUUCAUAUAGAUGCAUAACAUGUUGAAACAAGUAAAUAUAUCAAACUAUUUAUUCAUAAGCAAGUACGUCAAUAAAAAGAGUCUUUAAGAGCAUACAUAUGUAUAAAGUUUUAGUCCUUUAAGCUAGCAUGUGCAUAAAGCAAGCAUGUCAAGCCCUUUUAGGUCAACAUUUACAUUUAGGUUUGUUUCUGCCUGAGAUUGAAUCAUAUUUUUCAGUGACUUGUGGACAUAAUUAGACUCAUCUUUCUUCAUGAACUUUGUGUAUUUAUGUCUUGGCUUUCUAACAAGAUAUAUUACAUCUAAUUCUGACCUUCCUAACUUAAGUUAUAAAUUUUUCUUUACAAGCUGCUCAAUCAGGUUCUAACCAGUACAGUUUUGAUAUCUGUUUUUACUCUAACAAAACAUAUCUUAUGCAUAUAUUUUCAUACAGAUUCAAGCUUAACUCUCUUGUACAAAGUUUUAGGUAUACUUCUCAGGGUUCAUCUGGCACUGGUCUUAACUCAUUUCAAUGAGUAAAUCAUUAGUUAUGGUCUAAGUGAUACAGACUGUUCCGGUUACACAAUCCCCUGUGACCAGUUUAGGUUCACUAGAAAUUUUCAUAUACUUAGCUACCGAUUCAGAAUUUGGUCACUUCAUGAAAGUUUUAGCUAUCUGUCUUAGCUUUCAUUUGGUACAUUUUAGGCUUAAUUUCAAUGAUUACACAAUAAGUUAUGAGCUUUUUAACAUAGACUGUCCUGUUGGAACCUAUUCUGCCAGUUUUAUGUUUUUGGCUCCCAUGUUAUAUCUAUGUGAUUUAAACCUUCCAAUCAUCAUUUCAACAUUCAUAUUACAUAUCCAUACAUUCAAAAGAGCAUUUCCAGCAAACAAAACCAAUCCCUAAUGUUACAUAUUCAUGAGAAAAUCAAAGGAAAAACAGAAGUUCAUACAAUCACCAAACCUUUUGCAAAUUCUUUUCAAAAUCUUUUGGUACACCUUAGUUACUCUUUUUCCUUGCCUUUCCCCUUUGAUGUACCUUCCUCCCUUUGAGUUUUUUCUUUACAAAGAAUAAGAAAAAAUAUGAGCUUUAAUUCAUUUAACAACAUAUACUUAAUUGAAAACAUGAAAGGACAUGUUUACUUAACCUAGUUUUCAAUUUCUAUUACUUACCACUUAAGCACCUAAACUUCUCUCCUUCUUCCUUCCUUCUAUAUUGUUUCCUUGCUGGUUAUUACACCUAGGAACAGAUUUUGCAUGGAUGAAGACUUGGUCUUUAUGGAGAAAUUUGGUGGAGAUGGAAGAUAAAAGGCAAACUAAUUUUUCUUUCCUUUUGGUGUAGCUACGGCAAGCUUUGAAGAAAUGGAAGACAACUAUUCAUUUCAUGCUUAGUCAUGUCUUCUUUAUGGCUUCAUUAUGGCUAGGUGACACAUGGUAGGGCUAGGUGACACAUGGUAGGUUUAGGUGAAAAUGUAGAAAAAGGUGGAG